rnacentral:rRNA from 1 species
CUGGCGGCGUGCCUAAUACAUGCAAGUGAAACGGGUAUCUUCGGAUACCAGUCGCGGACGGGUGAGUAAUACAUAGGCAACCUGCCUUUAUGAGGGGGAUAACCGAGGGAAACUUUGGCUAAUACCGCAUGAAGACUCUAAGGCAUCUUAGAGGGAUAAAAGUUGGGAAACAACGCAUGAAGAUGGGCUUAUGGCGCAUUAGCUAGUUGGUGAGAUAGAAGCCCACCAAGGUAAUGAUGCGUAGCCGACCUGAGAGGGUGAACGGCCACAUUGGGACUGAGACACGGCCCAAACUCCUACGGGAGGCAGCAGUAGGGAAUUUUCGGCAAUGGGGGGAACCCUGACCGAGCAACGCCGCGUGAAGGAAGAAGGUUUUCGGAUUGUAAACUUCUGUUAUAAGGGAAGAACGGAUUGGAUAGGGAAUGAUCUGAUAGUGACGGUACCUUAUUAGAAAGCCACGGCUAACUACGUGCCAGCAGCCGCGGUAAUACGUACGUGGCAAGCGUUAUCCGGAAUUAUUGGGCGUAAAGAGUGAGCAGGCGGUUUAUAAAGUUCGGAGUUAAAUACAGUUGCUUAACGACUGUUAGCUUUGAAAACUAAUAGACUAGAGUGCAGUAGAGGUUAGCGGAAUCCAUGUGUAGCGGUGAAAUGCGUAGAUAUAUGGAGGAACAUCAGUGGCGAAGGCGGCUAACUGGGCUGUAACUGACGCUCAUUCACGAAAGCGUGGGGAGCAAAUAGGAUUAGAUACCCUAGUAGUCCACGCCGUAAACAAUGAGUACUAAGUGUUGGGGGAACCCAGUGCUGAAGUAAACACAUUAAGUACUCCGCCUGAGAAGUACGUUCGCAAGAAUGAAACUUAAAGGAAUUGACGGGGGCCCGCACAAGCGGUGGAGCAUGUGGUUUAAUUCGACGCAACGCGAAGAACCUUACCAGGUCUUGACAUCCGACGCAAGACACAAGAGAUUGUGGGAUAGAUAUGGUCGAGACAGGUGGUGCAUGGUUGUCGUCAGCUCGUGUCGUGAGAUGUCUGGUUAAGUCCAGCAACGAGCGCAACCCUUGUCCUUAGUUACCAUCAUUAAGUUGGGGACUCUAAGGAGACUGCCGGUGUAAAUCGGAGGAAGGUGGGGAUGACGUCAAAUCAUCAUGCCCUUUAUGACCUGGGCUACACACGUGCUACAAUGGGUGAUACAAAGAGAAGCAAGACGGUAACGUGGAGCAAACCUCAAAAAAUCACUCCCAGUUCGGAUUGAAGUCUGCAACUCGACUUCAUGAAGAUGGAAUCGCUAGUAAUCGCGAAUCAGCAACGUCGCGGUGAUACGUUCCCGGGCCUUGUACACACCGCCCGUCAAACCAUGAGAGUUGGCAAUACCCGAAGUCAUGUAGGUAACCUGCAAAGGAGCCGCAUGC